UCACAAUGUCUUAGAACUGGCAGGGCUGUC
rnacentral:piRNA from 1 species